ACUCAAAUGAAUUGACGGGUCCCCGCACAAGCAGCGGAGCGUGUGGUUUAAUUCGAUGCAACGCGAAGAACCUUACCUGGGCUUGACAUGUAUUCGCAAUCCCAAGAAAUUGGGCCCUCUGCAAGGACGGAUACACAGAUGUUGCAUGGCUGUCGUCAGCUCGUGUCGUGAGAUGUUGGGUUAAGUCCCUCAACGAGCGCAACCCUUAUUUCUAGUUGAAUAUCUAGAGAGACUGCCGGAAACAAACCGGAGGAAGGCGGGGAUGAUGUCAAGUCAGCAUGACUCUUACGUCCAGGGCUACACACACGCUACAAUGGAGGGUACAGCGAGAAGCCAACCUGUGAAGGUGAGCAGACCUCGAAAAGCCUUCCUCAGUUCAGAUUGCACUCUGAAACCCGAGUGCAUGAAGUCGGAGUUGCUAGUAACCGCGUGUCAGCAUAGCGCGGUGAAUAUGUUCCCGGGGAUUGUACACACCGCCCGU
rnacentral:rRNA from 1 species